AACGCAUCUUGCACCCUUUGGUAUUCUGAAGGGUACACUUGUUUGAGUGUCAUUGUAAUCUCACCUCAACAACUUUCUGUGGUUGAGUGUGGACUUGGAUGUUGCUGUGUAUUUUACAGCUCAUUUAAAAUGCCUGAGUGUAUCCUACUUUGCAGUGUAUCCAGUGUGAUAAGCAUCUUCACUGGACUUUGAGUCUCUUCAGGCACACUUAUAUUGUAGGCUCUAUGCUACAAACUGUCUUUGGACAAACUUUGACAAUUUGACCUCAAAUCAAGUGGGACUACCCGCUGAACUUAA
rnacentral:misc_RNA from 1 species